rnacentral:rRNA from 1 species
AACGAACGCUGGCGGCAGGCUUAACACAUGCAAGUCGAACGAUGUAGCAAUACAUAGUGGCGCACGGGUGAGUAACGCGUGGGAACAUGCCCUUUAGUCUGGGAUAACAGCGGGAAACUGCUGCUAAUACUGGAUAUUCCCUCCGGGGGAAAGAUUUAUCGCUGAAGGAUUGGCCCGCGUAAGAUUAGGUAGUUGGUGGGGUAAUGGCCUACCAAGCCUACGAUCUUUAGCUGGUCUGAGAGGACGACCAGCCACACUGGAACUGAGACACGGUCCAGACUCCUACGGGAGGCAGCAGUGGGGAAUAUUGGACAAUGGGCGAAACCCUGAUCCAGCCAUGCCGCGUGAAUGAUGAAGGCCUUCGGGUUGUAAAGUUCUUUUGGUAGGGACGAUGAUGACGGUACCUACAGAAUAAGCUCCGGCUAACUUCGUGCCAGCAGCCGCGGUAA